CCUACGGGUGGCUGCAGUGGGGAAUAUUGGACAAUGGGGGGAACCCUGAUCCAGCCAUGCCGCGUGUGUGAAGAAGGCCCUCGGGUUGUAAAGCACUUUCAGUGGGGAAGAACGCCUGGUGGUUAAUACCCAUCAGGAAAGACAUCACUCACAGAAGAAGCACCGGCUAACUCCGUGCCAGCAGCCGCGGUAAUACGGAGGGUGCGAGCGUUAAUCGGAAUUACUGGGCGUAAAGCGCGCGUAGGUGGCUUGAUAAGCCGGUUGUGAAAGCCCCGGGCGCAACCUGGGAACGGCAUCCGGAACUGUCAAGCUAGAGUGCAGGAGAGGAAGGUAGAAUUCCCGGUGUAGCGGUGAAAUGCGUAGAGAUCGGGAGGAAUACCAGUGGCGAAGGCGGCCUUCUGGACUGACACUGACACUGAGGUGCGAAAGCGUGGGUAGCAAACAGGAUUAGAUACCCUGGUAGUC
rnacentral:rRNA from 1 species